CCGCCCCCGCCCCAUCAGUGCCUCGCAGCUCCUCCGUCGCCCGCCACCAGAGAAACUCCUUUCGUCGACCGCCACCAGAGAAACUCCUUCGUCGACCGCCACCAGAGAAAGCGCCCGCCUCAGAUCCACCUCUCCCCAAACCAUCCAUCAUGGUUGCAGAGGAGGGGGAGAAAGGGGAUGGCAUCAAGGUGCGGACGGAGGCCCUGCCUCGGGGCGGCGAGUUGCAGAGGAGAUUCUGUGGUCGUUUUAUGCGUGGUGGGUCUGGAGAUGCGCCACAGUGGCGCGGCGUGGGUUUGCGUGCGUGCGUUGGGCGGCAGGUGGUCAAAGAACGUGGCGGCUCAGUCGCGUAACUCGAUCCCCUCCACUACGCCGAGAAAUUACAUGUGGUCGCUCCAAUAGUGUAAGUGGCUAUCAAGAAACAUGUCAGGGAUCCAGCGCCAUAUGUUAGGAGAUGUGCAGCAUAUGUACUUUAUUGUAGGUGCUUUGUUUAGUGAAAAUUCCUCUGGAGUACUAGGAGCUUCCAUGGUUGGCAUUUAAGUCGGUUUGUCCAUAUUGUUUAUGGUUGAUAGCAAAGUAUUCCGGAGCCUCUGUGAAACACUCCCUGAAGUUGAAGAAUGGUCUAAGAUUAAUUGAGAUUUUCUUGUUGUAUGUGAUAGCAAACAUGGAUUGGUCAAGGAUUCUGCAAUGUUUGCUUGAAGUUUGCUCUCGAGAUCCAUGGUGGUAGGGAUUCAGCUCCUGUUAAUAAUAUAUAUCCAGCACCCAACAUGAAACUAUUGUUAAUGGAAGUUGUGGCACUAGGUCAAACAUUAUGUUGUUCCCGUAUUACAUUGGAGAAUAUUCAGGAUGUUUCUAUAGGGACGAUGAGAAAUUCAGCUUUCCAAAAUAGUGGAGUGAUACUUGCAGCAGCAAGUGUUCAUUGGAUAAUGGCUCUAGCUAAGGAAUUGAAGAGAAUUCUUGGCCCAAUUUUAUUUACUUUGUGUUCAUCCCCUGACGCAACAUACCCGGCACAGGAAUUAAAGACAUGAUCACUAAGUUGACUAGCCUAUUAAACACAAUAAGGGUCGCUACAAGGGCGAGCGCUCGUUGUGUCCACCUCUCCAUUUUUUACUGUGCCGGGUUUUACUGUAGCGACGAAGGGAGAAACAAAUCCAGCGACUCUUCCCCUUGCCAAUGCCCUCUUUUGUUUUCUCCUCCCACAGCUAGGGUUAGUGCCGCUGCUGCUGCCCUUCCCGCCCUUGUGCGCUCUCCAUCUCCGGCCGGGAGCUCCACCUCCUCCAAUCCCUGCCUGUGCUCUGUGUCUCCUUCCCUUUUGAUUUAAUCUCUGUUAUCUUGGUUUGUGCAGAUUCUUUUGUAUAUAGUCUAUAAGGUGUUUGAUGAAAUGCAAGAAGGCAGCUGGGGACGAGAUCUGCCUGCAGAGGUUGUUGCUUUACCAUCACUGUUCUUGUGUCGUGCCUAAUGGGAUAUUGAAAUAUGGAUACCACAAAUUAAAGUGACAUUGGUGAUUCACACCGACAAGCCAUAUGAUGGAGUAUGGGAGGCUUUAGAUGUGGUUGCAUGGAAGCGUUUGUCAAGUUGGUCAGUGACCAGUUCUGCUCGCUGUUUUCAGGUUACCAUCCUCUUGCUCUUUUUUGUCAGGAAGCAUUCUCAUCUUUUGUUCGCAUGAGUAAGAUGCAGCAUGCUGACGCUCUAUUAGUUUUAUUUAUUCUUGCCAAAAAAUAGAAAGUAAAAUGUGCGAAGAUACAACAUUGAUGACGGGCUUGCGACUCUCAACACCCUCGACCCCCACCAUUCCUCUCUCUCCAUUUUGGUCUCGUCCACUAUCCACUAGAUAGGAAGACAAACAGGUGCUUCCUCUAGGUAUAAUUUUUUGCUAAUGUCAUUGAAUUUCUCGUGAGAUCUCUCUAGACCUUCCCAAAAGUAUUUUAGUUUGGUGUUCAUAUGUAUUAACUAGCCGAAGAAGGGAUGCAAAUGGAAGAAUUUGAUAUGCAUAAACUCCCGUCAUUGAAUCAGGAACAGAAAAUUGUUAGUUUGCUCGUUUGUUUCCUUUCUUGUCUAGCCUGCUCCACAUAGGUUUUAGUUUUACAGUGAAAAGCUGCACAAUUUGUGAUGGCGAUGAAAGGACUGAAAGAUUUGCUCAAAGCAAAAGCGUCUAGCCGGGAUACAUAUGGUAAGAAUCUUCAGAUAUUGACUUCUUUUCAUCUGCUAUUGAGAUAUAUACUUGCUCAUAGGUCACAAGUCAUGAAGUUACUUCCUUUUCCUUUUGUUUCUGAGAUAUAUAUGUGCUCAUAGGUGCUGAGACAUUUCGGAAGGUUCUCAUCUGCAUAGAUUAGUUGAUAGGAUGGCAAUUUAAGUUUAUUGAAGCUCAUUUUUAGGAGGCGGGGGUCUGCUUUGGUUUCUUACUAUUUGCCUAUUCUCUUAAAAAUACAUGAGUGGAUGCAACUGGCAGUUUGUAAAUCAAUAAUUUGGAUGGUUCUAAUUUUUUAAUUUUUAGGGGAAAAUUCCUUUGUUCGUUGAAUAAAUCAUGUUCGUUACAAUCAGAUUGCACACAGGUUGCUAUAUCAAAAAGUAGUGCCUUGUACCGGCUAGCAUCCCUAUUGCUAUUUCUCCCUAUCUUCUUCACCUGAAUAUAUUGCCUCCAUCGAACAGGGCUACUGUUAUUGAUCAUAAGAUCUGACUGUUCUAUGAUUACUAGAUGAAGCUACAGUGGUUAACCUGCUAUAUAGUGCAUGUUCUAGGUUUGUUAUACUGAAAAUGGUUAUUGUUCUUGAUCGUAUGUAUGAUCUCAUACUGUUCUAUGAUUACUAGAUGAAGCUACAAUGGUUAACUUGCUAUAUGGUACAGGUUCUAGGUUUGUUAUACUGAAAAUGGCUACUGUUCUUGAUCAUAUGAUCUUAUAUCAUAUACGUGCAAAUCAGGCCUUUAGGCCACUGGAAUUUCACUAUCGUUUCAUUUAGGAAGAGUAGAUUGAUCCAUUAUCUGGGGCAGCAUAGAGAACACAUUGUCUACCUGCAUAGAGAUAGUACCAAAGUGAAUUAUAUGUGUUUCAUCACCUUUAUUAAUUCUCCCUUCUUCUUUUAGCUUAUUAGUUGCUAACCUGCAAAGAGGUAGUACCAAGCAUGAUCUCUGGUUUGCCAUGUACGAGUCAUUUUAUUAAGCUGACAUUAGUAAUUUUGCAUUUUACGUAGUUCAUGUGCAAGUUAAACGUCUAUCGAAUAAUACUAAUAUUAAGUUUAUAAUGUUGGCAGUCUGUUAUUGCCGUUGUUUUCUUGGGAGUACUUCAGAAGGUGCAGUUGGGAAGGUGAGGACACACCAUGGCAGAGGUGCGUGGUUGGCAGGACGAGUCAGUGAGGCAUGCCGGUGGACAUGUGGAUGUUUAUCAUGGCAUUGACACAUUUCACUCCACCGACACUGCAUACCAACGUGAGGCCUUAGAUACUCUGUUCCUUCUGAUAUGGACAUGAAGGUUAAAGCCAUAAUCAAACUUAUCAAUGAAGAUGUUGAUUCUUUUGGAAGGAGAGCAGAGAUGUACCAAAAUAUUUUUUUUCGAUGGGAAAGGAGCCGUCAAAUUUCAAGAAGUUCAAAGGUUGACUGUAGAGAUCAACAUGGCAAAUGAAAAAUGGGAUGCGCUCAUGCAGAGCAAGAUGCACCAAGAGAGCGCUAUUCGUGAGCUGAAGAUGGAAAUCGGGAGCCUCACUGAACAAAAUCACUCUUCCGAGCUGCUUAUACAACAACUCCGUGAUGGUGCUGAUCGACGGUGGUCGGCAAGGCGGCAGGAGGCGAAGAUGAUGACUGAUACGGUGGCCAACGGAUAAAAGAUGUCGUUUAACUCCAUUUCCCAGUGGGGGCCUCUUCAUGGGCUGAUCUAGCAUCAGGACGCAUGGGAGGAGAGACGGCUCUCAUGUAUUAGGAUGUUGCACACUUGGUGGACCAGUCGACGCGGUUGUUCCACGCGCUGCUCUUGUUGAUUUGUUCUUGACACAUCCUUUGUUCUAUUGUAUUUUUUGAAUCAGUUGGUGGUAUAUAUUAACAAGUAUCAUUCA
rnacentral:rRNA from 1 species